AGGAACCGGAUGCGGGAAAACCGCACGUCCGGGUCUGUGCGGGCGUCCGGCAACGGGCGUUCCUGCCGCGAGAUGGACAUUCUUCUUUGGUUAUAAUUGCGCGAACGCAAGGUCGUUGCAAAU
rnacentral:misc_RNA from 1 species